UCUUAUUUUUUCAUGAUAAAUCAAUUCUCCAACUGAUUUUCUAUGAUGAGAAAACUCCUCAAAAUAUUGCACAAAUAAAGAGACUAAAAUAAGCUGGUAGCAAGAUUUUAUAGAUAAUGUCAAAUAUUAUCUAUAUGGUAUCCAAUUCAAAUCACAUUUGAACCUUUCAUACAAAACCAGAUAUUACCCAUAUUUGGACA
rnacentral:lncRNA from 1 species